GAAUAUGAAGCAACCUGCAAUUAGUUUCGACCUAAUCCUAUGGUAUUAAAUUACCCUUAUUCU
rnacentral:tRNA from 1 species